rnacentral:rRNA from 1 species
AGCGAACGCUGGCGGCAGGCCUAACACAUGCAAGUCGAACGAACUCUUCGGAGUUAGUGGCGGACGGGUGAGUAACACGUGGGAACGUGCCUUUAGGUUCGGAAUAAUUCAGGGAAACUUGAGCUAAUACCGGAUGUGCCCUUCGGGGGAAAGAUUUAUCGCCUUUAGAGCGGCCCGCGUCUGAUUAGCUAGUUGGUGAGGUAAAGGCUCACCAAGGCGACGAUCAGUAGCUGGUCUGAGAGGAUGAUCAGCCACAUUGGGACUGAGACACGGCCCAAACUCCUACGGGAGGCAGCAGUGGGGAAUCUUGCGCAAUGGGCGAAAGCCUGACGCAGCCAUGCCGCGUGAAUGAUGAAGGUCUUAGGAUUGUAAAAUUCUUUCACCGGGGACGAUAAUGACGGUACCCGGAGAAGAAGCCCCGGCUAACUUCGUG